rnacentral:tRNA from 1 species
AGCCGUGUAGCUCAAUUGGAAAGAGCGCCAGACUACGGAUCUGGGUCCAGUGGGGGUUCGAGUCCUCUCACGGCUA